GAUGAACGCUGGCGGCGUGCUUAAUACAUGCAAGUCGAGCGAGGACCACCCGGUGGCAACACCGGGUGACUCCUAGCGGCGAACGGGUGAGUAACACGUGGGCAACCUGCCCCCGACUCUGGGAUAAGCCCGGGAAACUGGGUCUAAUACCGGAUACGAGCCUCCUCCGCAUGGUGGAGGCUGGAAAGGGUCUCCGGUCGGGGAUGGGCCCGCGGCCUAUCAGCUUGUUGGUGGGGUGACGGCCCACCAAGGCGACGACGGGUAGCCGGCCUGAGAGGGUGAACGGCCACACUGGGACUGAGACACGGCCCAGACUCCUACGGGAGGCAGCAGUAGGGAAUCUUGCGCAAUGGGCGAAAGCCUGACGCAGCGACGCCGCGUGCGGGACGAAGGCCCUCGGGUUGUAAACCGCUUUCAGCAGGGACGAAGCGAAAGUGACGGUACCUGCAGAAGAAGGUCCGGCCAACUACGUGCCAGCAGCCGCCGUAAAAC
rnacentral:rRNA from 1 species